rnacentral:misc_RNA from 1 species
UUUCCGUAGGUGAACCUGCGGAAGGAUCAUUAUUGUAUAACCGAGGUGCGAGGGCUGUCGCUGACCCGAAAGGUCGUGCACGCCCGAGUGCCCUCACACAAAUCCAUCUCACCCCUAUGUGCACCACCGCGUGGGUCCCCCUUUGGCUUGUUCGGAGGGGGGCUUACGUUUUCACACAAACUUUGUAUGCAGUGUAGAAUGUAUUUUUUGUUUUUGCGAUCACGCAAUCAAUACAACUUUCAACAACGGAUCUCUUGGCUCUC